GACGAACGCUGGCGGCGUGCCUAAUACAUGCAAGUAGAACGCUGAAGAGAGGAGCUUGCUCUUCUUGGAUGAGUUGCGAACGGGUGAGUAACGCGUAGGUAACCUGCCUUGUAGCGGGGGAGUAACUAUUGGAACGAUAGCUAAUACCGCAUAACAAUGGAUGACACAUGUCAUUUAUUUGUAAAGGGGACGAAUUGCUCCACUACAAGAUGGACCUGCGUUGUAUUAGCUAGUAGGUGAGGUAAUGGCUCACCUAGGCGACGAUACAUAGCCGACCUGAGAGGGUGGAUCGGCCACACUGGGACUGAGACACGGCCCAGACUCCUACGGGAGGGCAGCAGUAGGGAAUCUUUCGGGCAAUGGGGGCGAACCCUGACCGAGCAACGCCGCGUGAGUGAAGAA
rnacentral:rRNA from 1 species